UAUAACAACACGAACACACGAAGAGGUCACGUUAAUGCGAGCUACGCAGGACCGUAUCGGCUAUCGACUACGUCACGUCUGGAAGGCGUAGGACCAGCCGGACGACCGCUGGAUGUUAAUCAUUGACAGUUUGCAUAACGCUGCGUUCAAAUCCCCCAGCAGCCAGAGGACGGGAACGGUUCCAGGAAACAAACAGACACAUUGUAGCGCUCCUGCACGGUGGCCGUCAUGGCGACGGGUUAGCAUGGGAGAGUCCAUCAUGGCUUCCAGCAUCUCCAGGAAUAGUUUGUGCAUGGGGACACCACCGCGGGUCUUGAUGCUGUAGAAGGUGGUAAGAGCACGACCAGCAGUCUGUCGGAGGAGAGGCAACGUUAAAAGGAGGCGUCCUGCCCGCUGGGAGUCGCCUGGGCGCCGCUGACAUUCCAGCUCCAGCAGGGCCUGGUGGAGGAGGUCCCGCAGCUUCUGCACAGCCUCCAUGUCCUCGAUGUAAACAGAAUCUAACAGGACAGAAGGACAUGUGCCCGGAAGCGGCGAGCAAGUUGACUUAUUGCGGCGUUCAGCUCCGUCAGUCCAGCAACACGUGACAUCUCCUCAUCAAGGACGAAAUCCUCUGCAAACACCACCUCAUCC